AUUGAACGCUGGCGGCAUGCUUUACACAUGCAAGUCGAACGGUAACAGGCCUUCGGGUGCUGACGAGUGGCGCACGGGUGAGUAAUGCAUCGGAACGUGCCCAGAGGUGGGGGAUAACGCAGCGAAAGCUGUGCUAAUACCGCAUGUGAUCUGAGGAUGAAAGCGGGGGACCAGGCAGCAAUGUUUGGCCUCGCGCCUUUGGAGCGGCCGAUGUCAGAUUAGGUAGUUGGUGGGGUAAAGGCCUACCAAGCCGACGAUCUGUAGCUGGUCUGAGAGGACGAACAGCCACACUGGGACUGAGACACGGCCCAGACUCCUACGGGAGGCAGCAGUGGGGAAUUUUGGACAAUGGGCGCAAGCCUGAUCCAGCAAUGCCGCGUGCGGGAAGAAGGCCUUCGGGUUGUAAACCGCUUUUGUACGGAACGAAAAGGAUCUGGCUAAUACCUGGGGCUGAUGACGGUACCGGAAGAAUAAGCACCGGCUAACUACGUG
rnacentral:rRNA from 1 species